GCGGAUGGAGCUGAAGCCAGUCGAAGAUACCAGCUGGCUGCAACUGUUUAAUAAAAACACAGCACUGUGCAAACACGAAAGUGGACGUAUACGGUGUGACGCCUGCCCGGUGCUGGAAGGUUAAUUGAUGGGGUCAGCCGCAAGGCGAAGCUCUUGAUCGAAGCCCCAGUAAACGGCGGCCGUAACUAUAACGGUCCUAAGGUAGCGAAAUUCCUUGUCGGGUAAGUUCCGACCUGCACGAAUGGCGUAAUGAUGGCCAGGCUGUCUCCACCCGAGACUCAGUGAAAUUGAACUCGCUGUGAAGAUGCAGUGUACCCGCGGCAAGACGGAAAGACCCCGUGAACCUUUACUAUAGCUUGACACUGAACAUUGAGCCUUGAUGUGUAGGAUAGGUGGGAGGCUUUGAAGCGUGGACGCCAGUCUGCGUGGAGCCAUCCUUGAAAUACCACCCUUUAAUGUUUGAUGUUCUAACUCGGCCCCAUAAUCUGGGGUGAGGACAGUGUCUGGUGGGUAGUUUGACUGGGGCGGUCUCCUCCCAAAGAGUAACGGAGGAGCACGAAGGUUAGCUAAUCACGGUCGGACAUCGUGAGGUUAGUGCAAAGGCAUAAGCUAGCUUGACUGCGAGAGUGACGGCUCGAGCAGGUACGAA
rnacentral:rRNA from 1 species